AGAGUUUGAUCAUGGCUCAGAUUGAACGCUGGCGGCAGGCUUAACACAUGCAAGUCGAGCGGGGGAAGGUAGCUUGCUACCGGACCUAGCGGCGGACGGGUGAGUAAUGCUUAGGAAUCUGCCUAUUAGUGGGGGACAACAUCUCGAAAGGGAUGCUAAUACCGCAUACGUCCUACGGGAGAAAGCAGGGGAUCUUCGGACCUUGCGCUAAUAGAUGAGCCUAAGUCGGAUUAGCUAGUUGGUGGGGUAAAGGCCUACCAAGGCGACGAUCUGUAGCGGGUCUGAGAGGAUGAUCCGCCACACUGGGACUGAGACACGGCCCAGACUCCUACGGGAGGCAGCAGUGGGGAAUAUUGGACAAUGGGGGGAACCCUGAUCCAGCCAUGCCGCGUGUGUGAAGAAGGCCUUAUGGUUGUAAAGCACUUUAAGCGAGGAGGAGGCUACUUUAGUUAAUACCUAGAGAUAGUGGACGUUACUCGCAGAAUAAGCACCGGCUAACUCUGUGCCAGCAGCCGCGGUAAUACAGAGGGUGCGAGCGUUAAUCGGAUUUACUGGGCGUAAAGCGUGCGUAGGCGGCUUAUUAAGUCGGAUGUGAAAUCCCCGAGCUUAACUUGGGAAUUGCAUUCGAUACUGGUGAGCUAGAGUAUGGGAGAGGAUGGUAGAAUUCCAGGUGUAGCGGUGAAAUGCGUAGAGAUCUGGAGGAAUACCGAUGGCGAAGGCAGCCAUCUGGCCUAAUACUGACGCUGAGGUACGAAAGCAUGGGGAGCAAACAGGAUUAGAUACCCUGGUAGUCCAUGCCGUAAACGAUGUCUACUAGCCGUUGGGGCCUUUGAGGCUUUAGUGGCGCAGCUAACGCGAUAAGUAGACCGCCUGGGGAGUACGGUCGCAAGACUAAAACUCAAAUGAAUUGACGGGGGCCCGCACAAGCGGUGGAGCAUGUGGUUUAAUUCG
rnacentral:rRNA from 1 species